GCCACCUGCAGCUUAUGUGGCAAUGGUGUCGAGGACGAACACCACGCGGUUAUAGCAUGUAUUAAAAGCAGGGCCCUAAGGGCAGCAAUGAGGGAAGUAUUGAGGCUACCUGCUGAGAACAAGCUAAGAUUCACCGGAGAUGAUUGGCUGCAAGUUGUACUGGACACGGAAAAUGAGGAGAUGUGCGCCAAACUGCUGCUACUCCUAUGGCGCUGCUGGCACCUCAGGGAGGACUGCAUGCGUAAUAAUGGGAGAGAAUCUAUCAGGGCUUCAGUGCAGUUUUUAAAGCAGUACGAGGAAGAUCUGAAAAGUACCGAUGAGAUCAACGAUAGGUAG
rnacentral:rRNA from 1 species